GGAGCGGAACGGGCCCCUCUGGCGUUGUUGCGGUCUGGCGUUCCCCCUUCCUUGCGCCGGGCUGUGCGACGCGAUGUCGGACCGCACGG
rnacentral:ncRNA from 1 species